GCUUUGAUAACUUAACGGCUAAAGUACAGUAUUGAAGCUACUGAUAUAUAGGUUCGAUUCCUUUUCAAAGCA
rnacentral:tRNA from 1 species